rnacentral:tRNA from 1 species
UGGGCUGUAGCUCAGUGGUAGAGUGCUUGCCUUGCAUGCAUGAGGUCCUCAGUUCAA